UACGUAGGUGGCAAGCGUUGUCCGGAUUUACUGGGCGUAAAGGGCGUGCAGGCGGUUUGUUAAGUGCAGGGUGAAAGCUCCCGGCUCAACUGGGAGAGGUCCUUGCAUACUGGCGAACUCGAGGGAGGCAGAGGAAAGUGGAAUUCCCGGUGUAGCGGUGAAAUGCGCAGAUAUCAGGAAGAACACCUAUGGCGAAGGCAGCUCUCUGGGACGGUACUGACGCUGAGACGCGAAAGCGUGGGGAGCGAACAGG
rnacentral:rRNA from 1 species